AAAAAUACCUGAUCUGAUCAAAGUGGAUGUCGGUGUACCAUCCGACGAUCACAGAUCAAAAAUCCAUCACGAAGAUCAUUUAAAUUCAUCAUCAUUCUUCUCAAAAUUCUAGAAAUCUUAGGAGAGAGAAAUAAUCUAGAGAGAGGAUUUUAGAGAGAGAAAAUAGAGAGAGAAAGUCUAAUUCUAGAGAGAGAAAAUAUUAGUUCAGGCUGAAGAGAGAG
rnacentral:lncRNA from 1 species